GCGUGCAGGUUGUUGUACCAUUUAUUUAUAGAAUAAACCAGAGAAAAAUGUAGUUUGGGCCAGAUCAGAAGAGGUGGGAAGGAUCCGUUUGCGAGACAGAAAAGAAAGCGAUUCCGGCCGUCUAUUGCUGCUCAAAUUCGCACAUGUGUGCGUCACGGUAUUUGUAAGGAGUGGUUGGAUUCUCGCGAUCAGGACUGGCUUCAGUCUGUGCUGAACAGGCCAGAGCCGAAGUUGACUCGUAUAUAUCCUAGAAAGGAAAAGGCUACCACCGCCAAGCGUCAGCGGACAUCAACGUUGGCCUCACAGUCGCUGCGAGCUUGUUCUACCCGUAUGGAAAAACUUGACGACGACUUGAAGGGAUCUGAUCAGGAUCAGACCACGCCUGACUCUGAUCAAUUUGAUAUUCAGGAAAUGCAAAGUCAGAAAACAGGAAUACAAAGUUCCAUCGAACAUUCCUACAAAGAAAAGUAUCUCGAAACCAAAGCUGAGCUAUCCAAGGCAUAAGAACAAAUUAAAGAGUUGCGCAAGAAAUACAAAGAUUACCAUCAGACCACUCUUGAUGACUCUGAUAAAUUUGAUACUCAGGAGAAGUUGUCGUCUAACGAUAUUGCUACCACCUCAACCUCCAUGCCUCAGUCGCCAUCGCCAUAAGAUAGGUUGGAAUGGUCUUGCGCGCACCUGGCUCGCCAUAGCUAAGCAGCUCCGACCAAUUUCAAAGUGCAAAACUAAAAUCCCCACCUAUGUCUAGCAAAUAUAUAUAUUUCCGCUCUCUCUUUCUCUUUUUUAUUAAUCCCCUGGACAAUGUUUUCCAGUUGUUUUAUUUUUUUUUAACUUAAACUAGCCAUGCUUUUUUAUAUGACUUAAAAAAAAACCUUUUAAUUAAGUUACAUGUUUGGUUUUGAGAAA